CUGGGAGCACCGGGAGGGACUGGGAGGGACUGGGAUAUUGGAACUGGGAGCACUGGGAGCACUGGGAGCACUGGGAGGGAUGGGGAAACUGGGAGCACUGGGAGGGACUGGGAGCACUGGGAGGGACUGGGACAUACUGGGACUGGGGGCACUGGGAGCACUGGGAGGGACUGGGAGGGACUGGGGGUACUGGGGGAGACUGGGACAUACUGGGACUGGGGGUACUGGGGGCACUGGGCUGUACUGGGUUGUACUGGUCAUACUGGUGGCACUGGUGGUACUGGGAGCCCUGGUGGUACUGGUGGCACUGGUGGCACUGGGUUGUACUGGGCUGUACUGGUGGCACUGGUGGCACUGGGGAUACUGGUGGUGAUACUGGUGAUACUGGGAGCACUGGUGGCACUGGGAGCACUGGUUAUACUGGUGAUACUGGGAGCACUGGUGAUACUGGGAGCACUGGUGGUUCUGGUGCUGAUACUGGUGGUACUGGUGAUACUGGGAGCACUGGUGGCGCUGGGUUGUACUGGGUUGUACUGGUCAUACUGGUGGCACUGGUGGCACUGGGGAUACUGGAAGUACUGGUGAUACUGGUGGUGGUACUGGUGAUACUGGGAGCACUGGUGCUACUGGUUGCACUGGUGAUACUGGUCAUACUGGUGAUACUGGUGGUACUGGUGGCACUGGUGGCACUGGUGAUACUGGGUUGUACUGGUGAUACUGGUGGCACUGGUGGUACUGGGAGCCCUGAUGAUACUGGUGGCACUGGUGGUACUGGUUGUACUGGGAGCACUGGAGGCACUGGGUUGUACUGGUCAUACUGGUGAUACUGGUGGUACUGGGAGCUCUGGAGACACUGGGAGCACUGGUGAUACUGGUCAUACUGGUGAUACUGGUGGUACUGGUGGCACUGGGUUGUACUGGGUUGUACUGGUCAUCCUGGAGGUACUGGUGAUACUGGGAGCACUGGUGGUACUGGGAGCACUGGUCAUACUGGUGGUACUGGGCCGUACUGGGUUGUACUGGUCAUACUGGUGGUGGUACUGGUGAUACUGGGAGCACUGGUGAUACUGGUGGCACUGGGCUGUACUGGGUUGUACUGGUCAUACUGGUGGCACUGGUGAUACUGGGAGCACUGGGUUGUACUGGUGGUGGUACUGGUGAUACUGGUGGUACUGGGAGCUCUGGAGACACUGGGAGCACUGGUGAUACUGGUCAUACUGGUGAUACUGGUGGUACUGGUGGCACUGGGCUGUACUGGGUUGUACUGGUCAUACUGGUGGCACUGGUGGUACUGGGAGCACUGGUGAUACUGGUGGCACUGGUGGCACUGGGAGUACUGGGCUGUACUGGGUUGUACUGGUGGCACUGGGGAUACUGGUGGUGAUACUGGUGAUACUGGGAGCCCUGGAGACACUGGGAGCACUGGUGAUACUGGUCAUACUGGUGGUACUGGUGGUACUGGGAGCACUGGAGACACUGGUGGCACUGGUGAUACUGGUGGUACUGGGAGCAGUGGGCUGUACUGGGUUGUACUGGUCAUACUGGUGGCACUGGUGGUACUGGGAGCCCUGGUGGUACUGGUGAUACUGGUGGCACUGGGUUGUACUGGGCUGUACUGGUGGCACUGGUGGCAAUGGGGAUACUGGUGGUGAUACUGGUGAUACUGGGAGCACUGGUGGCACUGGGAGCACUGGUGGUACUGGUGAUACUGGGAGCACUGGUGGUACUGGGAGCACUGGUGGUUCUGGUGCUGAUACUGGUGGUACUGGUGAUACUGGGAGCACUGGUGGCGCUGGGUUGUACUGGGUUGUACUGGUCAUACUGGAGGCACUGGUGGUACUGGGGAUACUGGGAGUACUGGUGAUACUGGUGGUGGUACUGGUGAUACUGGUGGCACUGGUGCUACUGGGUUGUACUGGGUUGUACUGGUCAUACUGGUGGUACUGGUGGCACUGGAUUGUACUGGGUUGUACUGGUCCUACUGGUGGCACUGGGGAUACUGGGAGCACUGGUGAUACUGGUGGUACUGGUGACACUGGGAGCACUGGUGGUACUGGGAGCACUGGUGAUACUGCUGACACUGGUGGUACUGGGUUGUACUGGUCAUACUGGUGGUACUGGUGAUACUGGGAGCUCUGGAGACACUGGGAGCACUGGUGAUACUGGUCAUACUGGUGGUACUGGGGAUACUGGGAGCUCUGGAGACACUGGGAGCACUGGUGGUACUGGGAGCACUGGUGGCACUGGUGAUACUGGGUUGUACUGGUCAUACUGGUGGCACUGGUGACGCUGGUGGUACUGGAAGUACUGGUGAUACUGGUGGUGGUACUGGUGAUACUGGGAGCACUGGUGCUACUGGUUGCACUGGUGAUACUGGUCAUACUGGUGAUACUGGUGGUACUGGUGGCACUGGUGGCACUGGUGAUACUGGGAGCCCUGAUGAUACUGGUGGCACUGGUGGUACUGGUUGUACUGGGAGCACUGGAGGCACUGGGUUGUACUGGUCAUACUGGUGAUACUGGUGGUACUGGGAGCUCUGGAGACACUGGGAGCACUGGUGAUAAUGGUCAUACUGGUGAUACUGGUGGUACUGGUGGCACUGGGCUGUACUGGGUUGUACUGGUGAUACUGGUGGCACUGGUGGCACUGGGCUGUACUGGGUUGUACUGGUCAUACUGGUGGCACUGGUGAUACUGGCGGUACUGGUGGCACUGGGCUGUAAUGGUGGUGUGCAGGACCCCUUCAGGCCCCGCCCCCUUCAGGCAACAUCCAAUCAGGCCACGCCCUCUCAAGCCACGCCCAUGACAGGCCCCGCCCCACUUUGCCGCAAUGUCCAAUCCGGCCCCGCCCCCCCGCGCGCUUUGGCCCCGCCCACUUUGAUUAACGCCCAAUCGCGCCCCGCCCCGAUUAUGCCCCGCCCCGCCCCUCCGUUUUGGCCCCGCCCACUUUGCGGCAGUGUCCAAUCAGGCCCCUCCCCCGAUCGGGACCAGCCCAUUAGUCCAGCCACGCCCAGUUUGCGCUAACGUCCAAUCAGGCCCCGCCCCGUUAAGCCCCCCCCCCCCGUCGGGCCACGCCCAGUUUGCAGCAACGUCCAAUCAGACACCGCUCUUUUAAGCCCCGCCCAUCUGUCCAGCCACGCCCGAUUUGCGGUAUUAUCUAAUUCGGCCCCGCCCCCCCAGCUCAGACCCCGCCCAGUUUGGGAUCUCGUCCAAUCAGACCCCACCCCUUUAAACCCUGCCCCCGCUCAGACCCCCGCCCUGUUUGAGAUAACGUCCAAUCGGGCCCCGCCCCGAUUAUGCCCCGCCCCGCCCCUCCGUUUUGGCCCCGCCCACUUUGCGGCAAUGUCCAAUCAGGCCCCGCCCCCGAUCGGGACCAGCCCAUUAGUCCAGCCACGCCCAGUUUGCGCUAACGUCCAAUCAGGCCCCGCCCCGUUAAGCACUCCCCCGUCGGGCCACGCCCAGUUUGCAGCAACGUCCAAUCAGACCCCACCCCUUUAAACCCCGCCCCCGCUCAGACCCCCGCCCGGUUUGUGAUAACGUCCAAUCAGGCCCCGCCCCCUGGUCAGGCCCCGCCCACUCUGCGGAGCGGAAGGCGGUGGCGCGCGGUGCGCCAUGAGCCCACGGGAGCGCGCACGGAGACCACGGCGCUGAGCCAUGGCUGAGCCGUGCCCUAUGGGGUGUGGGUGCCCUAUGGGUGCCCUAUGGGUGCUGUAUGGGAUAUGGGUGCCCUAUGGGUGCUGUAUGGGAUAUGGAUGCCCUAUGGGUGCCCUAUGGGUAUUCUAUGGGUGCCCUAUGGGUGCUGUAUGGGAUAUGGGAGCCCUAUGAAUGCUGUAUGGGUGCUCUAUGGGAUAUGGUUGCCCUAUGGGUGCCCUAUGGUUGCCCUAUGGGUGCUCUAUGGGAUAUGGGCGCCCUAUGGGUGCCCUAGGGGUGCUCUAUGGGAUAUGGGUGCCCUAUGGGUGCUGUAUGGGAUAUGGAUGCCCUAUGGGUGCCCUAUGGGUAUUCUAUGGGUGCCCUAUGGGUGCUGUAUGGGAUAUGGGAG
rnacentral:lncRNA from 1 species